CACUGCCCCACCCUCAACAGAUGGUGAUAGAACAGAUACCUUUGAUCACACCCUGUAUUGUAACCCAAGGCACAGUGUCAUGUGUUGGCAGGCAGGUGGAAAGGCCACUCCUGCUCCUCUCUGCCUGGCAAAGAGGCUGAGUCAGACUCCUGCUCACAGCACAGGGGUGCCUCUGGUGCCAGAUUUCAGCACCUUCCUGAGGACCAGGACAAGAGGGAGGGGUGAGCUCUGUCUUCUGGUGCCUUUGCAGUUCUGCUGAGAAAUGGGGACCUGCUGUUGGAAACAAGAGACUUCCAAAACAAACCCAAAAGCUUUGCUUCAGCACAAGCUGGUGGAUUUGAAACAGAUUUCAAAACUGAGUGUAUUACAAAAGUCCACAGUUAUGGAAAAGACAAAGGAUUUGGCACCUGAACUGAAGUGUAAAGUGACUCCAAGGCAGAAAUAUGUGAUAAAAAGCUUUGUGAUUAAUUUAAUAAACCAAGCAUUGGUUUCACA